rnacentral:rRNA from 1 species
CGUGUAGGCGGCUUGGCAAGUCCGCUGUGAAAACUCGAGGCUCAACCUCGAGACGUCGGUGGAAACUGCCUGGCUAGAGUCCGGAAGAGGAGAGUGGAAUUCCUGGUGUAGCGGUGAAAUGCGCAGAUAUCAGGAAGAACACCUAUGGCGAAGGCAGCUCUCUGGGACGGUACUGACGCUGAGACGCGAAAGCGUGGGGAGCGAACA